CUUACCGUCGUUGGGUCUGUGCUUCGCUCUUCCCAAACUUCCUGGCGGACGGCGCAGAGCGCGCGAGACCGUGUCGCAGCGUGUGUCAACAGGUGGAGCAGAGGUGUCCCUUCUUCCUGCCGGGGGACCGUUUUCCUUCCUACCCCACACAAUACGCUGGCGAGCCCACCUUUCUGUGCCUCGACCCCAACAUCCCCGAGACGGGUGAACAACUUGCCAAAUCGUCGUACGGGGACGGAGGUUGCUGUUACCGCCACUGCAGCAGCGAAGUGACUGGUUUCUGUUACACGGACCAAUGCUUGAGCAACGCCUCCACCCCAGCGGUACCAGAGCACCACUGCGAAGCGACGGGGUCUACCGCAGGCACUUCACGGACAGCAGUGUUUUCUGCGUGCAGUAGCUACAGUGCUACAAACAUUAUGGUGCACCCGCCCCUAGGUGGGGCCACGUCAGAGGCGGCUCACACCGUCAACAGGACAUUACUCAUCAAUUUGUUGUUACAUAUAAUAAUCCUUUUAGUGAUCCGAAAGGUGUCUGGUUUGGAAUUCACAUAGUGGAACAUAAAAAAAAAAGAAGAAGAAAAACACACACACAAAAUUCGUUGUUUUUUAAAAUGAAUACACGUACUAUAAUGGAAUAACGAAACAGUUAAAUGCUCGUAAAAUUUAUAUAAAGUAUAAUAUGUCAAAGGAAGUUAAGAAUUUGCAUCGCCUGAGCUUAUAUACAUAUAUACAUACACACAAACACACACCACAAAAGCCACGUCUGCUGAUACUGAAGGAUAUGUGUCGUUCAGAGUCAUGGCCGAGGGUACGUCGCGGUCAUCUAUAUCUCAUCUCUCCUCAGCGAGAGCCUAGAGCCUCGGUGUGGGAAUAUAAGUGACUGUUACAUCUGCCGCUUAGGCCUGUGAGGAGAACCAGUCGUACAGCACUGUGCUCGGAUGGAAAACACGCGACAUCAUACAAAGUCCCAAAUCUUAAGGCGUCUGUUUUUCUGUAUAAUGAUCCUUACUUUACGUAAUCGCAAAAGCCGCAAUUUUAGAGGUCCCUAUUCAUUUAACCUUGUCUAAAUAUGACAUAAAGGCAGGAAGCUGAUGUUAGUUCAUGUUAGUUUCAGGUGGGUUAGAAGUUCAUGACUCAGAAACUGGUUUACUCAUAUCUGAAGAGUGUUUUAUAACUUUACCAGUUGGUAAGAACUUGAAUUCAAUGGCGGAAAUGUGAGAUCUACUUGGAGAACUAUAAAACUCUGCUGGAGAUGACAGAAUGGAAUUAAUUUUCACUUUCAAUAAAUAGGAAUCACUAUCCAAGAAUCCUAAUUACAGCACCACGAAUUUGGAUUAGGAUUAAUGACUGUUGUGAUGGUGCUCACUUCGCGCUCUUUCAUUAUAUCGUAAUAAUAUACUGUAGGAGCGCCCUAACCCGUUGGCUUAUUUUGACGAGAAGUGCUCGUCGUAACUUUGUAAUACUGUGUGUAUCAGUGUUUGUCUGAAAUCAAAUUAAACCUUUGAGGCAUGAACUUCUUCUAAGUAAUAUCUGACAUUUACUUCCUACAGCACAGAAAGCACAAGGUGUUUCCCUUACAAAGGCUAGCCCAUAUUGUGUUUAGAGAAAUAUUAACUCUUUAUUUUAAUAAUAUAUAAACAUAAUUUGCGGAUAAAAUUUCGAGACUUUUAAAUUUCAAGCAAGUGGUGUACGUACUAGUAGAUAGCAUUGCGUUAAGAAGAGUCAAAAUUCUCAUGUUUAUCUAAAUAAUUACACUUUGCUAUCGUAGUUAGUUUUGCAUUUUGUUCACCAUGUACAAAAUUCAUAGCGUGACAUAGCUCGGAUAUAACAUGUGAAAAAAUACAGAAAAGUGGUCAUAAAUUUAUUUAUUCAUUGGUUGCUUCUGAACCAUCAGCCUACGUUUUACACAGAUACACAUACACAAACUGUGUUUUAUGGCAACCAUUUGGUCACUUAAGUGUAUAUCUAUUCCUAUAUUUGAGCCAUAUAUUUUCGAUAGUUUCUCUUACGACAAUUUAAAAUCCUGUAAACAAUAUUCUAACUUUUUAGAACAAAAAAACUGAGGAACGUAUAUUGGAAAUUAAGCAUCACUUUAAAAUUCUUAAAACAGGAUGAGAAACAAUAAAUAAUUUUAAAGUUUCCUUGUAUCAGGAAGAUAUGAUUAUGACAGCGUUAGGUGGGAAGUAUUUUAUUUCUCAAAUUUGUAAACCUUCAAAUUGCGCGGGGGAGGCAUCUAUGUUGCCGACAUGAACUCGAGCGACUUGCCGGCGUGUCUCUCGGCCAUGACACAAAGUCAUAACAACCAGUGUUGGUGAUGAGGGAACGAGACAGAUUGGGGUGGGGAGAGGCGCUUUAAACAAUACACGAUGACGCCACGCUCCCAGACGCGUGAGCAAAACGAACGGUUCACCAUAUUUGGUUGCUAUGACAACCUGCCACGUCAGAGGCAAGAUCACGUGGUACAGACUCUUACAUCGUUACGCGUGAGCAAACACAACCAUUUAUGUUUAUUUUUUGAGCAAAAGGGGUUUAAGAAUAAAAGAAAAACAGACAGCUCAUUAUUAAUAAUUUUUAAAAAUAGCUAAAAAAUUAAUCACAACGGUGUUUUACAAAAAUAUUAUGUUGUUAGAUGAAUGACAAGUAAAUGUAGAAAACGUUCGAUGUGCAGCGCGAAGUAUUUCAUAAAAUUUGAAACAAUAUGCGCAUGCGUUGUUCUCAGUUCUGUGACGGAACAGAGCAGUAGAUAAGACUCACCACUCAAA